GGAGUUUGGACCGUGUCUCAGUUCCAAUGUGGGGGACCUUCCUCUCAGAACCCCUACUGAUCGUGGGCUUGGUGGGCCGUUACCCCGCCAACAACCUAAUCAGACGCAUCCCCAUCCCUUAGCGGAAAACCUUUGGUUCAAAUCAGAUGCCUUCAAUGAACAACAUAGGGUAUUAAUCCGACUUUCGCCG
rnacentral:rRNA from 1 species